rfam:Angiostrongylus costaricensis strain Costa Rica genome assembly, scaffold: ACOC_scaffold0002472
UCCGUUGUGGUCUAGUAGUAAGAAUUUACGGCUCUCACCCGUAAGGCCCGAGUUCGAUUUCCGGCAAUGGAA